GCCCUUAGAGUUUGAUCCUGGCUCAGAUUGAACGCUGGCGGCAGGCCUAACACAUGCAAGUCGAACGGUAACAGGAUGUGCUUGCACAUCGCUGACGAGUGGCGGACGGGUGAGUAAUGCUUAGGGAUCUGCCUCUGUGUGGGGGAUAACUAUUGGAAACGACAGCUAAUACCGCAUAAUGUAUACGGACCAAAGGGGGCGUUUGCUCCCGCGCAGAGAGGAACCUAAGUGAGAUUAGCUAGUUGGUAAGGUAAUGGCUUACCAAGGCGACGAUCUCUAGCUGUUCUGAGAGGAAGAUCAGCCACACUGGGACUGAGACACGGCCCAGACUCCUACGGGAGGCAGCAGUGGGGAAUAUUGCACAAUGGGGGGAACCCUGAUGCAGUCAUGCCGCGUGUGUGAAGAAGGCCUUCGGGUUGUAAAGCACUUUCAGUUGUGAGGAAAGGUUAGUAGUUAAUACCUGCUAGCUGUGACGUUAGCAACAGAAGAAGCACCGGCUAACUCCGUGCCAGCAGACGCGGUAAUACGGAGGGUGCGAGCGUUAAUCGGAAUUACUGGGCGUAAAGCGCACGCAGGCGGUUUGUUAAGCUAGAUGUGACAGC
rnacentral:rRNA from 1 species